CAGGCAUCUGUGAAUGGAUGGAGAAAUAUUUACUGAAUGAAAGAAUCCUGCAGGAGGCCAGAUUUCUUUUAGGGGCAACCCAAGCUCUUGAGCCUUAGGACCAUGCAGAUAUUUAUACGGUGCUUCCACUUCAAAGAGCUCCCUUCAAGUGUCCAUACACUAAACAUCCUCUGAAACAGAACAGACCUAACGGAACUAAAGUGUAACCCUGCCCAGAGAGGAAGGAAUUGGUCAAAAGCCAUUGUGGAGGGGGCCUGGGUCCCUGUGCUUACUUCUGAAGGGGCCACCAGCAGAUGCAAAAGAGGAAUCUUGCAGUGUGUUCAUGGAAUGCUACCUGGCAGUCAAAUGGCCGGCAUGGAACAAAGCUCAUGCCAAAAGCCUUCUCUGCCUCUCUCCCUCAGCACGGUGUCCUCCAGAU
rnacentral:lncRNA from 1 species